rnacentral:lncRNA from 1 species
GUGUUUCGAGUUCGAAAGACCCAGGACCUGAGACCACUCUCUCGGGAACCUUGUUCACAGAACAAGUGCAGGUGCCCAACUAGUUAGAGAGGAAUUUUAAAACUUGAGGUGGGGACCAACCUCACCUGGGUCAAUGACUCUCUCUUGACCUGCAAUCUCCUUGUUUUCUGCACAGCACCAACAUGGUUAAUUUGCAAGACAAGUGGGCCGAAGGACCCACCCUUAUCUUAGGACGGUGCACAUUCAUAGAGAAUAUGAGAAGUUAAGAUGAUGAAAAAGACGAUGUGAAUGGAGGGAGGGAAGAGAAAAGCACUAGACAAGGGGACGAGCCUAGCCUAAUAGCUUGACAUGUAUAAUGACUCGGAAUGGUAGCAAG